UCUCAAACCCUAACCUACGACUACUUUUCUUGCUCUCCCUCUCUCGCUAUUGUUGACAAGAAUAAGGAGCACCAAAGACUUCAAUUUUUCGGUUCUAGGCUAUAUCGGACUCUCGUCAUCGCUAGUUACGAAAUUUAAACUGUAGGAAAUAUGCGAGACGUGAUUGACCAACCCCGGCCAUUAGCUAUUUUUAAGAGUCCAACCGAGCAACCAAAGGUCGUUAGAGGUUUAGCUGGAGCUUGCAGGGGAGCAGGAGUCGUUGUGGGACAUGAACCACUGCGUGUUCAUGAAAAACUUUAGUAAAUUAAAAACUUAAAUUUUGGUUUUGAACUUAAAUGCUUCCGCUGACUAUUCAACUUGGUUUUGGACUUUGGUUUUGAGAACUUUAGACGUUUGGUUUUACUUUACUUUAUUUAAUGUUUAUUAUAAUUGGUGGUAUGAUCCUGGUCAGUCACACGCCUCGCGGUAAUACUCCGCUUGUGGAUUUUGAGGGUGUGACACACUAUGUGUUUCGUCGUAGUUAAGGCCCAAGGUACUAUAUAAACAGCUUUCUGGUCUCACUUUGAAACCAGAUGAGAGAAUACCCGGAGAGACUUAUUCUGUAAAACUGUGUGUGUAUAAGUUGUUCUCGGUUCUCAUCC
rnacentral:lncRNA from 1 species